AAAUUCUACGAUGUGGCAUUCUGACAUCAUGUGUAAUCCUAGAAUGUGGAAUUAAGACAUCACACAUGAUGUCACAAUGCCACAUUGUAGAAUUC
rnacentral:miRNA from 1 species